UAACACAAACCAAACUCAGCACGACAGGCACGCAAAGGCAAACAAACAUCACCAAAAUCAAAGAAAACUAAACAAACAGGGGUCGACCUUGAAUACCGAAGAACAAGAAGGAACAAUCACUUACAGAGAAGUGAAUCAAGCAUGGAAAAACAUUACACAUACAUUCAGAAUUGAAAAAUGAAAACGAAGAAGGGGCGAGAAAGCUACCGGAUCGGAUACUUUGGAGACAAAUGAACAGGUAUAUGAUCUCCUACGCUUCUAAUUUCUUUGAGUCCAACUGUAAAUCUUUCCUUCUUCGUUAUUGAACAGUAGCGGUCGAAUUCCCUUCGUGUUCAGUAGUGGCGGCUGGAAAUCAAUAGGGUUUCGAUUAGAAUUCGUUUAGGGUUUUUUCGUCGUAUUCAAUUCCUCUAGGGUUUAUUUUGAAUUGUAGCCGCUCCUCUCAUCCCCUUUUUUCUGAACAGUAUCCCCUCUUUUAUACCCAGCUUACUAGGGUUUCAAAUUGGCUUCCGG
rnacentral:lncRNA from 1 species